rnacentral:rRNA from 1 species
AUUGAACGCUGGCGGCAAGCCUAACACAUGCAAGUCGAGCGGAUGAAGGGAGCUUGCUCCUGGAUUCAGCGGCGGACGGGUGAGUAAUGCCUAGGAAUCUGCCUGGUAGUGGGGGAUAACGUCCGGAAACGGGCGCUAAUACCGCAUACGUCCUGAGGGAGAAAGUGGGGGAUCUUCGGACCUCACGCUCUCAGAUGAGCCUAGGUCGGAUUAGCUAGUUGGUGGGGUAAAGGCCUACCAAGGCGACGAUCCGUAACUGGUCUGAGAGGAUGAUCAGUCACACUGGAACUGAGACACGGUCCAGACUCCUACGGGAGGCAGCAGUGGGGAAUAUUGGACAAUGGGCGAAAGCCUGAUCCAGCCAUGCCGCGUGUGUGAAGAAGGUCUUCGGAUUGUAAAGCACUUUAAGUGGGGAGGAAGGGCAGUAAGUUAAUACCUUGCUGUUUUGACGGUACCAACAGAAUAAGCACCGGCUAACUUCGUG